UCAGUACGAGGUAAGUUUCGACUGCCGU
rnacentral:sRNA from 1 species